GCAUGUGGCAUAGUGGUUUGAGUGAUGGACUAUGACUCUGAAGACCAGGGUUCGAUUACCAGUUUGGCCA
rnacentral:tRNA from 1 species